rnacentral:lncRNA from 1 species
ACUCAACAGACGGAGGUUUCUCCUCCUCCUAAACCCCCUCCACAUCUUUCUCUAACUUGAUCGUCGGAGGGGUCGGGUCGAGCACCCCGGCCCGACCUGUGUGCAGGUGCGAGACGGUGUCGCCUCUUCCUGGCGCUGUGGCGGAGCUUCUUCCCGACCGGGACGACCCGACCUCCCAACCCGAACCACCGAGCUCGGCUGUUGGGAGACCCCGAGGAGCGCCCCCAGAAAGAUCCCCGUCAUCCGGACCCGAACCAAGCCGCGACGGCCCCCGAUGCCACGGCUAAAAAAGUUACUUACCGUAACA